CAGCAGCCGCGGGAAAACGAAGGGUGCAAGCGUUACUCGGAAUUACUGGGCGUAAAGCGUGCGUAGGUGGUGGUUUAAGUCCGUUGUGAAAGCCCUGGGCUCAACCUGGGAAUUGCAGUGGAUACUGGGUCACUAGAGUGUAGUAGAGGAUAGUGGAAUUUCCGGUGUAGCAGUGAAAUGCGUAGAGAUCGGAAGGAACAUCUGUGGCGAAGGCGACUAUCUGGGCCAACACUGACACUGAGGCACGAAAGCGUGGGGAGCAAACAGGAUUAGAUACCCCGGUAGUCCCUGUCUCUUAUAC
rnacentral:rRNA from 1 species